rnacentral:misc_RNA from 1 species
CUCGCCCCAACGCACAGGCAGACACGUGCACCCUCCCCGCACUCCUCGUCGAGCGCGUCUGGUGUGUCUUGUCAAGUAGCCACCGGAUCGACAAGAGGGCUCUGUAGGCAGGCACCGUGAGGUCCUCGAGUAGCGUAUACCUUUCUUCCACCCCCUCUCCACUUGCGUCAGCACUACCGAAACGCAUCCUGCACCAGGCGGCGGCAGACGCGCCCACUCACGAGGCGUGGAGAGGGCUCACUUGGCCGCCACCACAGUGAGCGAGCGCACACCUCGCGUCAGCCCUCCUCUUCUUCUGUGUCCGGGUUUCUCGGCGUUUCCAUCACUCGUCUCGCAUCUGAGCCGCCACAGGAAGGCUGGCACCCACUCUUCCAUGCAUACGCCGAAGGACAAGCGAGAAGCAUGAAGCAGGAGACUGUGUGUGCCUUCCCUGUGGAGCUCUUUUCAGUGAGCGACACGGGCGCCUCCUCUAGCAAGGGCGCGUGUGUGUGCGCCGUUGUCGCCCUUCCGUCUCGGCCUCCCAAGUACAGCCUCGUGUGCUACAGUGCGCAGCAGGUAACGUUCUGCGUGGCACGCAUGAGCUACGUGGAUGGGUACAACACAUCGCUGCGCCUUCUCACUCAUGCGUCAUCGGGGCACAUCUCCUUCAGCGACGAUGCGGAUCAGCGCUGGAGUGUCUUCUUCGCCGACGCGGCUCAGCAGACACGCUUCCUGGCCUGCUGCGGUGUUUCAUUCUACGCCCUUUUCGGUGCCCCGGGGGCGUCCGUUUUCAGCUACGACGUGAGCUUCCCGUCGUCGUCGCUCCCUCUCGAGGUCGGCGACAGAGCCCACGUGAGCUUCACCUCCUACGAGCUGACCGUGAAGGACAACAUGUACGCUGUCGGCGCUCUUGGCGAACAACGAGGCGACGCAGCUGGCGGGACCACCACUUCUCAGCAACAGCAGCCCUUCUAUGUGUUCCAGCCGAGUACCAGUGCGGCACAGCUCGCACAAGGCUCCUUCGGCUUCGAGGGCAGCGUCGUGGGCAUGCGUGAGGAGGACGUGCGGGUCUUCGUCGUGCCUGCGGGUUUCACCACACGCGUGUCGGACUCUCUUGCGAACGUCUCCGCACAAGGGCUAGUGUUUGUGGUCCGCCUGGCGCAGGUCGAGCACGUGGACGAGGAGCCGGCGUCAGCAAGGCAGGCCGCUGACAACGGGCAAAGGGCACCACCCUCUGUGUACGCGGCGACAGAGGACGGGGACGCUAGACAGGCGUCGGCGCCGUCGGAACAGGCACUGAUGGUUGUCGCGGCGGCGCCGACCGCUGCGGGAGUGGCGCCGGCGACCUCUUCGGCUGCAUCCGCCGUCCCCGCGUUUCUGAGCACUAACGGCAUCCCAGCUGAGCACAUGUCGGUGCUCCGCAAAAUAGAGCUCGGCGUCAACACGGCGGUCGCGACAGCACGGGACGUUCACGGCGUGACUGCCAUCUUCUCCCAGGACUGGCAUCGGUACAUAGAGCGCCCGAAGCCGUCGCUGCUGAGCAAUCGCGCCCUCCUCGAACAGGUGCAGCGGGUUGUGGAGGAGGAGGAGACGGCACAGAAGCACCUUGACGCGUGCGACAGCGCCCUGCAGGCUCUUGAGGCUCGCAACAAAGAACUCCAGCAGCGCAUCGAUCGCGCCGUAAGCGACUCGCAGAGGCUGCUGGAGGAGAAGAGCAGGGGCGCUACGAAAGCUAUGGAGGCGCGGCUGGAGCGGGAGCGGCAGCUUGUAAAGCUGAAGGAUGAGAUUCGUGUGAAGGAACAGACGCAGGAAGAUCUGCAGCGGCGCGUCGCAGCGCUGCGGAGCUACAUCGACACCUCAAGCGAGGAGUUGCGCCAGUUGCAGGGUCGCUUCGACGUUCAUGAGAUCCAGUCCAAGGGCUUGGCGGAGCGGAUCUCUACGAUUCAGGAGUCUCUCAGCGAAGAGCGGCGCCGCAGCGCAACGUUGGCCUCCAAGUCGUCCUCCACCGAGGAGGCGAUUUGCAAGGCACAGGCUCAACAUCGACUAGCUGACGGGCAGCUGACUGCCGCGCGCGGCUUGGCGGAGCGGGAGCGCCUGCGCUACCUGCAGGUGAUGGAGGACGAGCGCAGCCACCGCGCCACCGACGCGGAUAUACUGCGUAAGGACAUCGUCGAUGCGCUGGACGCACGCGAGCGGCAAUAUCAGGUGGAUCGCUGCCGGCUUGCCGAGGAGCAGUUCAUGCGAGGUCUGCGCGACGGCAAGGCAGAAGGCCGCCGGGUCGCAGAGACAGACCUGCUGGGACACCAGGACGAGCUGCGGCUUAACUUGCAGCGGGCCAAGACGGAGGUCGAAAUACGCAAAGAGGAGGUGCGCCGAAGCAUCGAGUCCGCCAUGGCACUGCGCCGCACUCUGGGUGGCAAGGUGACUGAGCUGGAGGCGCAACUCGCCUCCGCGACGCGCAAGCAGACGAAUCUGCAUUACAAGCUCUCGCAGUGGCAGACAUGGUGCCGCACGGCACGGGACACCGUGAGCCAGCACUGGCGUGCGCUGCUCAGCUACGCCACCCACCCGUGCACGCAGGAUGAGCUACUGAAAAUGAUGGAGGCGGUGCGCACCGCUGAGCAGUCGAGCUACGCGAGCGAUGAUGGCGACGAAGGCAGUGACGGGACUGGCGGCCCGGUGCGGGUGGACCUGCAGUUCCAGCUCGACCAUUGGCGGCAAACCCGCAUCCGCUGCAUUGCGCAGCGCCAGCGAUGGCUCUGGGAUGACAUGCUGGACCUCUACACGAAAGGCGCGUUCGUCCAUUUCGACCGCGAGUGGCUGCAUCCGCUGAUAGAGGCGCACGACGCAACGCUAGAGGCGGUGGCGCAACUGUACGCCCAGCAACACGGCGGCCGCGCGCUCUUCGACUGCUGCGCGGAGGAGGCGCAAGAGCGGUGGUCGGUGCAGCAGCAGUGGUGGUCGACCAUUCACGAGAUUGAGGAAUGGCUGGCUGCUCAGCGCACAGCGCAGGAGAACUUGAAGGACGAGGAGGCGGCGGCACGCGAGGCACUGUGGAAGGAGUAUAUGGACGGCGGCGAGGCGGUGGUGCAGCUCUGCGCAUCGCAGCUGCGGGCGCAGGUGAUGCUGCUGCAUGAGGAGAUGCAGGCACGAGAUGAGCUGGUGUCCGAAGAACAGCGACGGCGGCGGCUACUGCCAGAUGAGGCGCAGCAGCAAUGGGCUGCGUCGUGUUCCUCUGCCCUGCGUCUGUUUGAGGAAGAGGAGGAGGCUGCCCGUGCUGGCCUGGAGGCGGAGGCUUACAUGUCCUACAGUGGCCUGGAAUUUCAGUGCGCCUACGCCCUUCGCGCCGCGCAGCAGCUCAGUGCACAGCACGUGGAACAGCAGCGUCUCUUGGCUGAAGAGACGGCGGCGCGGCAGGCCGUGAUGCAGGAGGCAUCGGAUGCGGUAGAGCGCUGCCGCCUCGCUGCUGCAGCUGUUGUUUCUUCUGCCGAAGCGGCUGCGGCACCGCCGAUUGAGACACCACAGGAAGGGGGCAGCCCUGCUAACCUCUUCUCCCCUUUACCUAUGGAGACCAUGCAUAGCGCGCCAUUGCCCCCUCCGUUGGCAGAGGAGACGUCAGCCAGCCCUCUUCCCUCACCUUGCAGCUCAAGCCACGCUCGUUCUCCACCGUCACCGACCCACCCCGUCGAAGGCCGAACACCGACGGCUGAUGAGAGCGCGACGACACCCCAGGUGGCCGGUGUGCCGGCACCUUCACACGGUGCUUCAGAUGCCGAACCACCAGUCGGCCCCGCUGUCGCGCUGCAGCACGUGGACUCGUCACCAGCUCCACCGCCGCCGCCAGCGGUGGAGCUCGGGUUUGGCUUCGCCGAUCCUCCGCGUGUUGCGUGGGGCGAUCACAGCAGUGGCAGUGGCGGAUCUAAUCGUCUGAGAGACGGGGGGCUGGCGAUGACCACAGACACAUUCUUCUCCAGUGAGCCGCCGCCCCUUCCGCCACCAGACGAAGCCGACUCCUUGGCGCAGGCUGUGGCGGCGCCGAGCGAGCAGCGCAGCGCCAGCACUUUUCAUGCAGUCGCCACAGUCGUUGCUCCACCUCCGCCACGCUGCUCAUCACACGCCGAAUUCUCGGCAGCUCCUACAUUGGCGAUUACAGCGGAGUCUGAUGACACGCUGCCGCCGUCGUCUGAGGUGGCAGAGGUUGACCGACAGCACAUGUCUGAUCAACGCAGCGGUUCGUCUGGGGGUGAGAGCACUUCCUCAUCUUUGCGAACGUCGUCCACCUCUGCGGUGCAGAGGGCUGGCGAUGCUGCUGCACUUUUCACCGCGCUGCCGUUGCAGCACGACUCCGCGGGGCGGGAGGAGGGGGCAGCGGUAGACAGAGAUUCACCAUCCUCGACGCAGCGAAGGCCUCUGCGCGCCUUCGGCGCCGACUCCAGCAAUAUCGGUGAAGACCUCAGCGGUGACAUGUCUAGGGGUCAGGGGUCUCAGAAGUCGCCGACGAGCGUGCCACGCCGUGCUCGCGGACCCACCACCAAGCAGCCAGCUGCAGGAAGCGCUACCCAGAAACCGAAGCUGUUUGAUAGCAGCAGUGACAGUGAGCACGGCGAAUGAUGCGCGACGCGAUUUUUUUUCUGCUCUGCGCACCUAAUCGAGUGCUUCGCUCCUCCUCCCCCCACUGUGCACUUGCUUGUAUGCGUCCGGCGCCUUUCGUUUUGUUUUCUCUUACGUAGUUGCUUCCAUGGCCCGAUUCUCGGUCCUGUCUUCGCUCCGUGCGUUGUCG